GACGAUCGCUUUGCAGGCGUGCCGCUUUCGUUUCUCUUUUUUUCAAGAUGAUUGACAAUCUUUCGCUCACGCGCUGAGCGCAUUCUUUGAAUGCGAGCGCUGCGCGAGCGCGGCCCAGAUGGGCGCGACGGACUAGCGUCCUGUAUUGGUGCUGACUGAUUUAUUGGUUGGCUGGAUACAAGGGCUUGUAGCUCAGUUGGUUAGAGCACACGCUUGAUAAGCGUGGGGUCGGAGGUUCAAGUCCUCCCAGGCCCACCAAAUAUGUGAUAAGGGGCCAUAGCUCAGCUGGGAGAGCACCUGCUUUGCAAGCAGGGGGUCGUCGGUUCGAUCCCGUCUGGCUCCACCAUCACUUUGUUUGGUGUGGAGUAGGACGGCAGUCAAUCAUCGAGGAAAGAAGCCAGUUUGCGGACUUUACGAAGUCUGCCUGUUCUGUAUGAAAUCGUGAAGAGAAGAUGUAAUCGGAUCAACUAUCCAGUUGAUGUCGCAAUGGUUUGCUCAAACCUUGCAUUAUGAUUGGACGCUAACCGCGCCACCGAUUGUAUCUCGAGAAGCUGGUCUUUCUGCUGAUAACGUUGAAGCUGAACAAGCAUUUGCAGUCAAAUGGCAACAUUUGACGUGGCAUAAUGCGUUGUAAGAAUGUUUGA
rnacentral:tRNA from 1 species